AUUGAACGCUGGCGGCAGGCCUAACACAUGCAAGUCGAACGGUAACAGGAAACAGCUUGCUGUUUCGCUGACGAGUGGCGGACGGGUGAGUAAUGUCUGGGAAACUGCCUGAUGGAGGGGGAUAACUACUGGAAACGGUAGCUAAUACCGCAUAACGUCGCAAGACCAAAGAGGGGGACCUUCGGGCCUCUUGCCAUCGGAUGUGCCCAGAUGGGAUUAGCUAGUAGGUGGGGUAACGGCUCACCUAGGCGACGAUCCCUAGCUGGUCUGAGAGGAUGACCAGCCACACUGGAACUGAGACACGGUCCAGACUCCUACGGGAGGCAGCAGUGGGGAAUAUUGCACAAUGGGCGCAAGCCUGAUGCGGCCAUGCCGCGUGUAUGAAGAAGGCCUUCGGGUUGUAAAGUACUUUCAGCGGGGAUGAAGGGAGUAAAGUUAAUACCUUUGCUCAUUGACGUUACCCGCAGAAGAAGCACCGGCUAACUCCGUG
rnacentral:rRNA from 1 species